UGGUAGAUGCACCCUGGUUGAAGCUCCGGAUUUUUAAAUCUGGGGCAUUUUUUU
rfam:Limnoraphis robusta CS-951 contig017, whole genome shotgun sequence.